ensembl:lncRNA
UGAGGAUCGUUCACGUGUAGCUCCGAUGUUCUCUGCCCUCUCCCCCUCCUCCAUCAGGCAUCUCGUCCUUCCCUGUCAUGAGUUAGUUCACCUGUGGUCCCUCUGUCUUCUUUGCCUAAUCUCAGCUGCCACGGGACACUGCUUUCACAGUGGCUCUCAUUAAAUCCGAGGAGGUAAUCUCCUUUAAACUAUGAGCUCCGUGCCCCUCGCUCUGGGAGAGACAAUUGCUGCUGGGGGCUCUCAGGAGAUUGUUUCGUAUUCACCCAGUGGUUGAAGGAAGAGGGGAGAAGGCGAGAAACAUGUGACAUUCACGGAGUCUGCAGGAAGAUAAUCAGGCGCUCCGUUUUGGGGUGACAGUCAGUCUGGCAAAAGGACUGAGUGGGCAUCAGGGAAAAUAAAUGGGGCUCCAGGAAAGAGCAGGGCUGCCCUCGGUCCCUGACUGCCCUGCCCACCCCCCAACUCCGCCCCUGCCUGUAGAAGCAGAGGCCCCACAUCUGCUCCGAGAGGGGGCAGGCCUGACUCACGGCACACAGAGAAGAGACGCGGGAUGCUGGGCACGCAGAGAUGGCUCCUCUGCCUCCUUCUGGAAGAUUUUUCCCACUGUGUUAUUUUGCUACAGCUGCCAUAGCAAAAUUAGCAGAGUGAGCAACAGAAAUAGAGGCUGGAAGUCUGAGAUCAAGAUGUUGGCCGAGUUGCUUUCUCCCGAGGCCUCUCUCCCUGGCUUGCAGACGGCCGUCUUCUCCCAGUUGUCUUCAUACUCUUCUUCCCUCUGUGUGUCUGUACCCUAAUCUCCUCUUCUUAUAAGGACACCAGGCGUGUUGGGUUUGGGCCCACCCCAGUGAAUUCAUUUUCGCUUAAUUAUCUCUUUUAAGGCUUUGUCUCCAAACCAGUUGUAUCUGAGGUUCUGGGGCUCUGGACUUCCACAUGUAAAUCUUGAUGGUUCCUCGUUCAGCCCAUUACACCCACCUGUUGCUGACCAGCCCUCUUUUCUGGGCCACUCUUGCCCCCACACUGUAUUUGUGGCUGGGAGGGAACAGUCAGAAUUCUGUUUUGGAAUUGUAUCUCAGAAGCAAGCAAGUCAGGAGAGUGUCUGGAACUUCAUUUUUAGUAGAUUUCAAUUGCUGUUUUAUGAUGAAAUGCCAAUAAAAUUUGGUGUUUAAAUAAUAGAGUGAUCUUCUGUUGAAAAUAGAAUAAAAUAUAACGUUUCAAUAAAAUAAUCAAAGUUGCACAUUAGAUUGCCGGUAGCAUCCUCUCACAGGCCUCUGUUCUUCUCUUUUGUUGCCUUCAGCAGAGCCCUAAUCAAUAUAUCGCCUGUGUGCUUGCAUGCUAAGUCUCUUCAGUCAUGUCCGACUCUUUGUGACCCUAUGAGCUGUAGCCCACCAGGCUCCUCUGUCCAUGGGAUUCUCCAGGCAAGAAUACUGGAGUGGCUUUCCAUGCCCUCCUCCAGGGGAUCUUCCUGACCCAGGAACUGAACCCACGCCUCUUACGCCUCCUGCAUUGGUGGGCAUGUUCUUUACCACUAGUGCCACCUGGGAAGCCCAAUGUAUUGCCUGUAGGAUGAGCAUGUUGUUGUCCAUCAAUGCCUGGUGACAGAUACUCCAUCCGGGCAAGAACCACCACUGUCUCUUCACCGUGUAUCCUGACCACCUGUGCGUCACAGGGCCUGGCACACAAUGUGUCAUGUAGCGUGAUACAUUGUGUAUUUAAAAAUAAAUUGUGAGGGUCUUCCCUGCUGGCUCAGUGGUAAGGAAUCCACAUGCCAGAGCAGAAGACACCGGUUCUAUCCCUGAUCUGAGAAGACCCUACGUGCCGCAGAGCAACUAAGCCCGUGGGCCACAGCUCUUGAGCCUGUGCUCUGGAGCCUGGGAGCUGCAGCCAUGGAACCCUGUGAGCCCCAGAGCCCGUGCUCCACCACAAGAGAAGGCGCCGUGACGAGAAUCCCCUGCACCACAACUAGCAGCCCCCACUCACCGUAACUAGAGAGAAG